CCCAAAGUGGGGGACCCGUGGGUUACUGCGGGGCUUCCGUUUACCCCCCAACGGAAGGAAUAAAAAGAGAAAAAGAAAGAGAGGGGGGAAGCAUCCAGAACCCCCUCCCUUUCUCUCGCGCGCUCUCUCCCCUUCUCCCGCUCUCUUCCGCACUCUCUCUCUCUCCCGCUCUCUCUCUUUCCCCCCUCUUUCUGGGUGUGUGUGUUGUGUGUGUGCUGUGAGUGGGGACGGAGAAAAGAAACAGAGGAGGAGGAGGAGGAGGAGAAGAAGAAGAAUAAAAAGGAAAAAAAAAGCUGACCUGAGGUUCUCUCUCUCUCCCAUCAUUGUUCCAAGGAGUAUCGGUGAAGUUUUAGGUAACCUGAUAGAAGAUCACUGCAAGAUUCAGAAAUCAUUUUUGGGGAUCAAAUCUUGGCGUUUUAGGAGUUAUGUAUAGAGGCAAGGCUUGUCUGUAAAAAAUAUUUAUUUUUGGGAUAGUUGUAUCUAAUGAUGUGGUAUAAAACUUGCAUGAUUAUUGUAAAAUUAAAGUUAAAAUUUUUAUACAAUAGUUAGUUGGUCUGUUAUUACCA